AUUGAACGCUGGCGGCAGGCCUAACACAUGCAAGUCGAACGAGUGGCGGCCGGUUGAGUAAUUUCUGGAAAACUGCCUGCUGGGGGGGGAUAACUAUUGAAAACGGUAGAUAAUACCGCAUAGCAUAAGAUGUGCCCAGAGGGGCUUGUCUUGUUGGUGGGGUAAGUGCUCACCCAGGCGACGAUCCCUAGCGGGUCUGAGAGGAUGACCGUCCACACUGGAACUGAGAUACGGUCCAGACUCCUACGGGAGGCAGCAGUGGGGAAUAUUGCACAAUGGGCGCAAGCCUGAUGCAGCGAUGCCGCGUGUAUGAAGAAGGCCUUCGGGUUGUAAAGUACUUUCAGCGGGGAGGCGUUACCCGCAGAAGAAGCACCGGCUAACUCCGUGCCAGCAGCCGCGGUAAUUC
rnacentral:rRNA from 1 species